rnacentral:rRNA from 1 species
AUUGAAUGCUGGCGGCAGGCCUAACACAUGCAAGUCGAACGAGUGGCGGACGGGUGAGUAAUGUCUGGGAAACUGCCUGAUGGAGGGGGAUAACUACUGGAAACGGUAGCUAAUACCGCAUACCAUCAGAUGUGCCCAGCUGGGAUUCGCUUGUUGGUGGGGUAACGGCUAACCAAGGCGACGAUCCCUAGCUGGUCUGAGAGGAUGACCAGCACCACGGGAACUGAGACACGGUCCAGACUCCUCCGGUAGGCAGCAGUGGGGAAUAUUGCACAAGGGGCGAAAGCCUGAUGCAGCCAUGCCGCGUGUAUGAAGAAGGCCUUCGGGUUGUAAAGUACUUUCAGCGGGGAGGCGUUACCCGCAGAAGAAGCACCGGCUAACUCCGUGCCAGCCGCCGCGGUAAUAC